rnacentral:rRNA from 1 species
AUGACUAAUCGGGUUACCCAUCGGGCUUACCCAUCGGUUAAUAUAAUGACCCAUACCCUACCCAUUAGGGUCGGGUGCCCAUGGGCGCGGCCGCCCAUGGGUGAGAUUGCGGGGUUGAGGUACUACCCCGAGGGAAAGCUCGAAGAUACAAUGUUUACCGGGAAUGCAUCAUCAUCUUGGCAGGCGAUUAGCUCCGGGCUGGAGCUCUUGAAGAAUGGCUUGGUAUGGAGAGUUGGGAACAACAGAAGCAUUCGAAUCUGGAGGGAUAAUUGGAUUCCCCGUCCGUAUUCGUACAAGCCCAUUACCUUGCAGGGAAGAUGUCGUAUCAGGUUUGUGUCUGAUCUGCUGAAUGACAACGGGUCUUGGAAUACUAGACUGCUAGAGGAAUAUUUUGUUCCGGCUGAUGUUACUGAGAUUAUGAAAAUUCGAGCCUCACCACAACUGGAGGAUGACACGCUAGCAUGGGGGCAUGGGAAAGAUGGACUGUUUACAGUGAAGAGUGCAUAUCAACUUGCUUUCGAUGAGGCUCAUAGGGACACUGUCACCGGAUCAAGUACUAGGCCGGAGCCCGGAGGGGUCAUGUCCUUGUUGGAAAGUGAUCUGGUCGAGCAAUGUCCCACCCUCAGUCCGAAACUUUGCGUGGAAAACUGCGACGAAUGCCUUGCCAACUCGUCAAAAGAAGCACAAAUUGGGCACAUUCGCAAUGAAGUAGUGCACCAUAAACCUGCACCUCCUAAGGAAGCUUCUAAAAGGUUUUUGAGGAUGGCACGGCUGGAGCUGGUAUGGUGCUGCGAGAUGAUAGAGAAAAAAGGCUUUUGGACACCGUGGCGGGGGGAGCUCGGCCUGAUCCUCGCUGAUGCUCGAGUUGAAGGCUCGGCUCAGGAGGCAGCGGUUGCCGGCUUGGCGUGGGCGCGGGAGGUGGCGGAGCAGGGAAAGAACAACAGGCUCCGGAUGGAGAAGGUGUUCCUCGGGUCCACUGCAAGGUGA